AAGCACCUCCCUCCCAUGCCAGGCCAGUGGAAUGGUGCAACAACCCCCACCGCUCCGGCCGUCUUCCCAUUGUCCCCCUGUUGUCAAGGUACUGCUGACGUCACCUUGGCUUGUUUGAUCACGGGAUACUUCCCUGAACCAGUCCAAGUGCAGUGGAACUCGGGUGCCAUCACUUCCGGCUUCAAGACCUUCCCCUCUAUACGGCAGUCCAGCGGCCAUCACACCCUCAGCAGCCAGCUCACCAUCCCGGAUGCCAGCUGGAAAUCCGGAAAAUUCCAGUGUAAUGUUGUACACACGGCUACCAACUCCAGAAUCAAUGGAGACUUUGAAGCCUGCCAAAGCAAGGAUCCAGUGGCACCAGUGGCCCGCAUGCUCCAGUCAUCCUGUACCACCCAUUCUGGUAACACCGACAUAGAACUGAUGUGCAUUAUCUCAAACUUCUACCCUAAAGAAGUUACAGUCAGUUGGCUGCGAGAUGGCCAAGCAUACUUUCCCUCAUUCACCGAUAAUCCCUGGAAAGAUGACAACGGCUACACCUUCAGUACCACCAGUUCAGUCAACAUUACCCAACAAGACUGGCAGGAUGAGAAGAUCUUCACUUGCCAGGUGUCCCAUGAACCAACAAAAAGCAUCAAAAAGGUUCAAGCCAAGAAAUGCGGAGAUGAUGAUGGCAGCACAAAAAUCCGAGUCCGUAUCGAAAAACCAACACUCUAUGACUUGUAUAUCGAAAGGCAACCCAUACUCACCUGCAAUGUAAACAACGUUGUCAGUAAAGAGGGUCUGGUGGUGACCUGGUCAAAGGAGAAACCAGGAACCCUGACUCCUGAGCCACUCGUUUUUGGUGAACUACCUGAUGGCACCUUCACUGCAGCCAGCUCUUUGGAAGUCCCUGCCAGAGAUUGGAUGACAGGAGAGACAUUUUCCUGCAAAGUGGAACAUCCCGAGUUGGCUGGUCCUAUCAUUAAGAAGAUUUCCAAGGAGAGUGGCACUGCCACCGCCCCCUCUGUGUACAUCUUCCGCCCACACCAUGACGAACUCAACUCAGACAGCCAAGACUUGUCCAUCACUGCCCUGAUCAAAGGGUUCAAGCCCAGUGACAUCUCCGUGAAAUGGCUCAAGGGUACCAACCCCUUGCCCGAAGCCAACUAUAUCAACACCCCAGUCACCAGCGAUGGCGACGAUACCUUUUUCUUCUACAGCAAAUUGAAGGUCCCCAAGGCUGACUGGAACAAUGGCAAUUCCUUCACCUGCAUGGUUGUCCAUGAAGGCCUCGCCAUGAAGUUCAUCCAGAAGUCCAUUCAGAAAACCUUUGGUAAAUAAUGAAGACAACUCAUAAUCCAGCCUUGUUUCCCUUUCGACAGACGUUACUCUAGUGUUGUCAAACCCAAGCCAUGUAAAUACUUUGUGAGCAUUUGCGUGUGGUCAAUGGCUGAAUAAAAGAGAACCCACAUGAAGCCUCCAACACAUAAA